UACGUUUUUUCUAUUUCUCUAUUUUUUUUUCAUUCCUAUAAUUCCAAGGGGUCCUUAAUGUUCGUGGGAUCAAAGGGUCAAAGUGAAUUUAUUCCAUUCCGGGCCGACUCGUUUGGAUAGUUCUUAGUAUGGUCCAUCUAUGUUUAUGCGUUAGAAUUUUAGUUUGGAUCGUUGGCCAAUAAACAUGGAUGGACCUGGCAAUGAUGUUCCAGACCAGUAAAAGCUCGGCCCAACUAAGCAACCCUUUUCUUUUGGAAAAAGUAUACUUUGAGUCCCUUAACUCCGGCCCAAGUACGAUUCAUGACCUCCAACCACGAAACCGGGUAUACCGACUCCUCCAACUACCAAAACCGGUACAAACUAUAUCUCUGGGUGGUUUUGAAAGUGGUUUUAGCUGACGUGGCGCCUACGUGACAGUGUUGACCCGUUCUUCGUUCCACGUGUCGUAGAUGUGUAGCUUAUGUGGCAUUAGAGUAAAAACAAAAAUUUGUAGGACCAAAAUGUCAUUCAAAAAAAAAAAAGUGGGACCCACCGACAUGUGGGGGUGGGGCCCACAUGUCAUUCUCACCGACGCCCCAUCCCUUCUUCCUCCCCUCUCUCUCCUUUCUCUCUCUCUCUCCCCUUUCUCUUCGUCUGCAGGCGGCGACGGGUGUUCGAGGGCCGUAGCGGCGGCAGCCAGCGGGAGGGCGGGCGCUGCCUAGAGACGGAGCGGCGACGAGGCGCCCUCGUCGUCCUCAAGGCGUCCCGACGGCUCCCGCCGCCCAUGCAUGUCGCGACGCCUGUGCCGCCGUCGCCGCCUCCCCCGCCGGGGCUCUGCUCCACGUUGGCGUCGGCGCCGCCGGCCCACGCACGCGCACACAUGGUGUUUGUUGCUAUCACGACGUAUCCUGGCGGCAAGGAUCUGGACGCCGGCGUACUUGACGUCCCAGCUGAACUUGGUGAUGGCCCAGCGGGUGCCGCCAAACUCGUCAGCGUUGUCGACGAUGUAGUCGAGGUAGGCGGCGGCGGCGGCAAAGGCGUCGCGAUGUGCGUGGGCGUGGCGGGAGCCGUCGCGACGCCUUGAGGACGACGAGCCGUAGCUCCGCCCCGAGGGCGCCUCGUCGCCGCUCCGUCUCGAGGCAGCGUCCGCCCUCCCGUUGGCUGUCGCCGCUACGGCCCUCGAACACCCGCCGCCGCCUGCAGACGAAGAGAAAGGGGAGAGAAAGAGAGAGAAGGGAGAGAGAGAGAGAGGAGGAGGAAGAAGGGAUGGGGCGCUGGCGAGCUCCUCUCCGUGGGUGAACGGCCGACGAGCUCCUCCCCCGCGCGUGGACGGCCAGCGACCUCCUUCCCUGUGCGCUGUCGCCGCCGCCCCGCGCUCUAGUGAUUGAAGGUGAGAGGAGAGGAAAAGAUGAGAGAGAGGGGAGAGGGGUGAGAAUGACAUGUGGGGCCCACAUGUCGGUGGGUCCCACUAUUUUUUUUUAUGUGAAUGACAUGUUGGUCUUACAAAUUUUUGUUUUUACUCUAAUGCCACAUAAGCGAUACGUCGACGACACGUGGAACGAAGACCGGGUCAACACCGCUAUGUAGGUGCCACGUCAACCAAAACCACUUCCAAAACCACCCAGGGAUAUAAUUUGCACCGGUUUUGGUAGUUGGAGGAGUCGAUAUAUCCUGUUCUGUGGUUGGAGGUCAUGUAUCGUACCCCGGCCAUAGUUAAGGGAGUAAAAGUAUACUUUUUCCUUUUCUUUUCUCAUCUAAGAAGAAACCUUCAAGUUUA